rnacentral:rRNA from 1 species
UACGGAGGGUGCGAGCGUUAUCCGGAUUCACUGGGUUUAAAGGGUGCGUAGGUGGGCAAGUAAGUCAGUGGUGAAAUCUCCGGGCUUAACCCGGAAACUGCCAUUGAUACUAUUUGUCUUGAAUACUGUGGAGGUCAGCGGAAUAUGUCAUGUAGCGGUGAAAUGCUUAGAUAUGACAUAGAACACCAAUUGCGAAGGCAGCUGGCUACACAAAUAUUGACACUGAGGCACGAAAGCGUGGGGAGCAAACAGG